rnacentral:rRNA from 1 species
UGCACCGGGGAUUAGUGGCGAACGGGUGAGUAACACGUGAGUAACCUGCCCUUAACUCUGGGAUAAGCCUGGGAAACUGGGUCUAAUACCGGAUAUGACUCCUCAUCGCAUGGUGGGGGGUGGAAAGCUUUAUUGUGGUUUUGGAUGGACUCGCGGCCUAUCAGCUUGUUGGUGAGGUAAUGGCUCACCAAGGCGACGACGGGUAGCCGGCCUGAGAGGGUGACCGGCCACACUGGGACUGAGACACGGCCCAGACUCCUACGGGAGGCAGCAGUGGGGAAUAUUGCACAAUGGGCGAAAGCCUGAUGCAGCGACGCCGCGUGAGGGAUGACGGCCUUCGGGUUGUAAACCUCUUUCAGUAGGGAAGAAGCGAAAGUGACGGUACCUGCAGAAGAAGCGCCGGCUAACU